rnacentral:rRNA from 1 species
UCGAGAGGCUUUGGCAAUGGGGGAAACCCUGACCAAGCGACGCCGCGUGGAGGAUGAAGGCCCUUGGGUUGUAAACUCCUUUUGUCGGGGAAGAAGUGCGAUCAGGUGAACAAUCUGGUCGUUUGACGGUACCCGACGAAUAAGCUCCGGCUAACUCCGUGCCAGCAGCCGCGGUAACACGGGGGGAGCAAGCGUUGUUCGGAAUCACUGGGCGUAAAGGGCGUGUAGGCGGAUAGGUAAGUGGGACGUGAAAUCCCUCGGCUCACCCGAGGACCUGCGUCCCAAACUGCCUGUCUUGAGUACGGGAGAGGAUGAGGGAAUUCCUGGUGUAGCGGUGAAAUGCGUAGAUAUCAGGAGGAACACCGGUGGCGAAGGCGCUCAUCUGGCCCGAUACUGACGCUGAUGCGCGAAAGCUGGGGGAGCAAACGGG